GCGAAGCCAGAGGAAACACUGGUGGAGGCCCGCAGCGGUCCUGACGUGCAAAUCGGUCGUCCGACCUGGGUAUAGGGGCGAAAGACUAAUCGAACCAUCUAGUAGCUGGUUCCCUCUGAAGUUUCCCCCAGGAUUCCUGGCGCUCGGAGCCUCGCAGUUUUAUCCGGUAAAGCGAAUAACUAGAGGUCUUGGGACCGAAACGGUCUCAAUCUAUUCUCAAACUUUAAAUGGGUAAGAAGCCCGGCUCGCUGGCUUGGAGCCGGGCGUGGAUUGCGAGCCGCCAGGUGGGCCACUUUUGGUAAGCAGAACUGGCGCUGCGGGAUGAACCAAACGACGGGUUCAGG